GCCGCGUUGGCGUAGUGGUAGCGCGUCGCACUUGUAGCUUGUGGUGGUAUCCCACGGCGCUAUGCGAAGGUCACUCGUUCAAUCCGGGUACGUGGCA